rnacentral:rRNA from 1 species
GAGCGCCCCGCAAGGGGAGCGGCAGACGGGAGAGUAACACGUGGGAACGUGCCCUUUGGUUCGGAACAACACAGGGAAACUUGUGCUAAUACCGGAUAAGCCCUUACGGGGAAAGAUUUAUUGCCAAAGGAUCGGCCCGCGUCUGAUUAGCUUGUUGGUGAGGUAACGGCUCACCAAGGCUACGAUCAGUAGCUGGUCUGAGAGGAUGAUCAGCCUCACUGGGACUGAGGCACGGCCCAGACUCCUACGGGAGGCAGCAGUGGGGAAUAUUGGACAAUGGGCGCAAGCCUGAUCCAGCCAUGCCGCGUGGAUGAUGAAGGCCUUAGGGUUGUAAGGUCCUUUCGGCGGGGAAGAUAAUGACGGUACCCGCAGAAGAAGCCCCGGCUAACUUCGUGCCAGCAGCCGCGGUAAUACGAAGGGGGCUAGCGUUGCUCGGAAUCACUGGGCGUAAAGCGCACGUAGGCGGCUUUCUAAGUCAGAGGUGAAAUCCUGGAGCUCAACUCCAGAACUGCCUUUGAUACUGGAGAGCUUGAGUCCGGGAGAGGUGAGUGGAACUGCGAGUGUAGAGGUGAAAUUCGUAGAUAUUCGCAAGAACACCAGUGGCGAAGGCGGCUCACUGGCCCGGUACUGACGCUGAGGUGCGAAAGCGUGGGGA